AACGAACGCUGGCGGCAUGCCUAACACAUGCAAGUCGAACGAGACCAUCGGGACUAGUUGCGCACGCGUGCGUCACGCGUCGGAACCUGCCCUUAGGCUCGGAAUAACUCUCCGUAGGGGGUGCUAACGCCGGAUAACGUCUUCUGACAAAAGAUUGAUCGCACUUGGUUGGGCAGGCGUUGGUUUAGCUGGUUGGUAGGGUAAAAGCCUACCAAGGCGACGAUCCAUAGCUGGUCUGAGAGGAUGAUCAGCCACACUGGGACUGAGACACGGCCCAGACUCUUACGGGAGGCAGCAGUGGGGAAUAUUGGACAAUGGGCGGAAGCCUGAUCCAGCAAUGCCGCGUGAGUGAUGAAGGCCUUAGAGUUGUAAAGCUCUUUUACCCGGGAUGAUAAUGACAGUACCGAGAGAAUAAGCUCCGGCUAACUCCGUG
rnacentral:rRNA from 1 species